rnacentral:rRNA from 1 species
GCAACCAGACCACGUUGGAAACACCUAUUCCAUUUCGAUCACCCAAGUUAAAUAACUUCGGGCCCAGUUGGUAUUUAUAUGAGUGACUAGCCGGGAAUACCGGGUGUUACGACC